rnacentral:rRNA from 1 species
UACGUAGGGUGCGAGCGUUGUCCGGAAUUAUUGGGCGUAAAGGGCUCGUAGGCGGUUUGUCGCGUCGGGAGUGAAAACCCAGGGCUUAACCCUGGGCUGGCUUCCGAUACGGGCAGACUAGAGGUAUGCAGGGGAGAACGGAAUUCCUGGUGUAGCGGUGAAAUGCGCAGAUAUCAGGAGGAACACCGGUGGCGAAGGCGGAUCUCUGGGCCUUACCUGACGCUGAGGCGCGAAAGCUAGGGGAGCAAACAGG